GGGAGGUCCUGGGGGCUGCCCUGAAGGCAGGACGCGAGAGUUCCAGGCCCUGCAUACCUCAUGC
rnacentral:miRNA from 1 species